rnacentral:ncRNA from 2 species
ACGAGGAAGCCGGUGUGAAUCCGGCGCGGUCCCGCCACUGUGAUCGGAGAGCAAGUCCCGACAGGCCACUGCCCGGUAGCGGGUGGGAAGGCCGGGACGAGCAUUGACCCGAGAGCCAGGAGACUC